ensembl:lncRNA
GUGGAUGUUCACCGCUCACACAGCCGGAUCCACGUUGCACGUUCUUCUCGCCUCGCAGAUUCUUUUCCACGAGAGGAAGUGCUACAACAAUCUGACGUCAUGACAAACGACUAAGCGUCCCAGAGGGGGUGAAAAGGCCUACACCUGCAGAGGAUCUGCAGAGAGCAUCUCUGUCAUCUGGAGACCUGAGAACAGAGAAGGAAAACAGAUGAAACAUACGGGGGUCACCCUCCACCCCCAGACGUUGUUAUUUCAAGCUUUUCUCAUCAUAUUGAGGAGGAAGGGAACAAUACACAGCACACACACACACACAUAAACUCGCUCGGAGCACUCGCUCAGAACAGCACAGUCAGCUCUUUCAGCAGACAGAAGAAAGAGAAAUAUCAAAGAGCUAAGGAGCAAGGAGGAGGGACAGGGUGAAAGAUAUAGACAGCAGGGGAGAUAAAGUACUUUAUCCACAGAGGCUUUACUCCUCACUACUCCUCUACCACUUUUGCACCAGUGUGAUACAAAACAUGCAUUAACACGACUUGAGCUAGAGGCAGCUUUUUUUUGUUCUCUCUCUUUUUAGGUUUUCAACUGUUUACAUCUGCCAGCUAUUUUUCACAGAGUCUUAAGAGAGGUGCGAGGGAACAAGCAGUGAGAAAUCUCGGAGAAAAAGGAAAUCUUGUCCACUGUUCAGGAAAAUCAACAGCGCUGGAGACACCAGGACACUUGGCACCACACUGACGUGACCCAAAAUUCGACCCUGCGGGACGCCAGUGACGGUCUGACAUGAAAGAUGAGGCGCAGAGGAGGACAUCAUCAACAGGCGGCGGGGAAACAAAGCUCCAGCUAAUCGCUGCUUCCUACAAAACUACAUCUGUAAAGUUACUUUUAACCCGAGAAACAAGCAAGACCAAAUAGCGAAACAGAGUAAAGACUCUUACACAGUCAAUUCAUGCUGUAGACGUGUUUUGUUCCUCACAAAAUUAACCUCUUUGAACCUUAACCAAUUAUUUUUACCAAGCAGGGAAGAGCAGCUUAAGACAACUUCAGG